CAAAAAUAUAAUUAUUAUAAUAUAAUUAUAAUAAUUUAGAGGGAAGAGGGUUUACGUUCUCCAUUCCAAGGGAGGCUCAUUCCCUGGCAGAUAACUGUCUUUCAAAACCAAGACAAGAGGGAGCAAGCUACAUGGUUAAAACUUGUUCAAACUGAAUAUUACAGUUUUUUAAAUCAUAAAUUCUCUCUGCAGUGCUCUGAUUCAGACAGUCCUGCAUCCAGCACUGAGGCACAGGAGGAAUCUUCACAGCCUUUGGCUUCUCUUUGCUGUGUGCCAGCUGAGCCACAUUUGUUCCUUCCUGAAUACAUCCUGAAUCCUACAACUGAAGAAGCAGAUUGUGCAAUCAUCAUACUCGUAUAAGAUGCAUGAAAGGCUCCUAAAUAUGCAUGUCAUCUUCCAAUAUGUGUAAAAGUCUGCAACACUGGGAGGACAAUCUCUACUCACGAUCAGUGGAAGAUGGUCAGUGGAAGAGUUUGCAGUUACUUGCCGAUGAAUGUUUAAGCAUGCAACAAUAUAUCUGUAUUUCUGAAAGUUAAGCCCUUCAUAUUGUACUAGAAAUAUAAGUCACUUAAGUCAAUGGGGAAAUGCUUAUUUAAUUCUGUGAAUAUUCAAGCAAAUGCAUAAUUUUCUUACUUUUAAGGUUGGAUGUAGUUCCUCUAAGGAAUAUAUUUAAUCAAAGGCAAAGCACUCAUUUAAGUAUCUUCAUUAUUCCAUUAAAAAAGAGUUAAUGAAUAAAGAGGAGCAAUUAUAUUUUUGUACUAAAAAGAAAUGUUGAAAAUUUAAACCAUACAAACACAGGAAAUCAAAAUGUUGAGAAAUUUCAUGAAGCAAUAACAUGGGUGAAAUUGUCAUUUCUGUAGUUUCAAAUAUUUCAUUUUGCUUCCAACUUCUAUGUUUUAAGUAACUUAAAUGUCAGUAUAGAAGUAAUUUUGAACUAAAAAAUCCAACAUGUUCUUUUCCUAGAAUAGCAACAUUGGAAGAGUGCUGUUUAUGUAAAUAUUCUUUUCUUUUAGCAGGUUAAAAUAUAGACCUUUUCUCAUCUUUGGCUUUAAACAUUUUUCAGCAAGAAAGGUCUUUAUCAAUAAAUUAACUUCUUAUUCUGUAGAAAAUUCCCCACAGCAAGGAAAAUGAGCAGCAUAUCCCCCUUUUUCUUUCUGUUCAUGGAUGAAUUUACUCAGUCUCUAAUGUGGAAUGAUGUAUCACAUACAAGCCCAGGCAUAAUUUACUCUGCUGGUUGUCUGCUGAAAACAGUCUGAUGAAGAUGAUGGUUUACCUCUGUGCUUCCACCUCAGCAUUUUUCUCACUAUCAGAAAGAGGUAAACCAGAGGUUUGGUAUUCAGUUGUUUUUCCCAAAGUCUGUGAUAUCUACAUGAAAAUUAUUAAAAGCAGAAAAAAAAAAAUAGUUAUUAAAUUCUGACUCCCCGUGCUAGUAAUGCUGCUCUUAGGUAAAGCCUGUCUUUGCUCUUGCAAUUUUCAAUUUGGUUUUGUUGCUUUUCUUGAGGGUGUUCCAAUAUUUUCCUGGUUUUUCUCUCUGUUUGGCAAUCGUGGGAGAACCCAUCUCUUUCUUCAUUUUCAGUCUCAUCCUAGAAGAUGUUUGCCAAACAACCUUCCUCAAGCUAACUACAACGUUUCUCUUUGCCACCCCCUCAGCCUAGUGCAAGGGCACUUGGUAGUAUCCGAGAGCAUUUCUGGCAGAUAGUAUGCAGCACACAGCUGUGGAGGUAAACUUAGGAUAAAAACUUCAGAGAAAUGGAAGAUAGCCUCCUGUGGCUGCAAUGUACCUUCUUCUCAUAUCUCACACUCUAAAAAUAGGCUUUUGUGUUUGUCUACAAUUUGUAUUUUUAUUUUCUGUGGGUUUUCUAUUAAUA